CAAUAGCGUAUACUAAAGUUGUUGCGGUUAAAAAGCUCGUAGUUGGAUCUUGGAGCGUGUGCUUGCGGUCAUGCCUAUGGUGUGCACUGCUUGACGUGUUCUUCUAUUUGGUUGCGCGUGUGUGUUGCAUUAGUUUGUUGCCACACUCGACCGAAACGUUUACCUUGAAAAAAAUUAGAGUGUUCAAAGCAGACCUGUUUGUGUCUGAAUAUUCGUGCAUGGAAUAAUGAAAUAUGAAUUGUCGUUCUUUAUUUUGGUUUGGUUUCAGACUCGAGUUAAUGAUUAAGAGGGACAGACGGGGGUAUUAGUACUCUGCCGUUAGAGGUGAAAUUCUUGGAUCGGCGGAAGACUCGCAACUGCGAAAGCAUUUGCCAAGAAUGUUUUCUUUAAUCAAGAACGAUAGUCGGAGGUUCGAAGACGAUCAGAU
rnacentral:rRNA from 1 species